rnacentral:snoRNA from 1 species
AAGCAACGCUUGGCGGCAGAGGCUCAAAACCGCCUGGCCCAAUUUCCGCUUGCCAUAGCGAGAAGGCCGGUCUGUGCUGGUGUUCCGUCUUCGACGAGACAAGCUCUUACAUAGACUUAAACUGC